rnacentral:rRNA from 1 species
AUUGAACGCUGGCGGCAGGCUUAACACAUGCAAGUCGAGCGGGGGAAGGUAGCUUGCUACCGGACCUAGCGGCGGACGGGUGAGUAAUGCUUAGGAAUCUGCCUAUUAGUGGGGGACAACAUCUCGAAAGGGAUGCUAAUACCGCAUACGUCCUACGGGAGAAAGCAGGGGAUCUUCGGACCUUGCGCUAAUAGAUGAGCCUAAGUCGGAUUAGCUAGUUGGUGGGGUAAAGGCCUACCAAGGCGACGAUCUGUAGCGGGUCUGAGAGGAUGAUCCGACACACUGGGACGGAGGCACGGCCCAGACUCCUACGGGAGGCAGCAGUGGGGAAUAUUGGACAAUGGGGGGACCCCUGAUCCAGCCAUGCCGCGUGUGUGAAGAAGGCCUUAUGGUUGUAAAGCACUUUAAGCGAGGAGGAGGCUACUCUAGUUAAUACCUAGGGAUAGUGGACGUUACUCGCAGAAUAAGCACCGGCUAACUCUGUGCCAGCAGCCGCCGUAACAC